rnacentral:lncRNA from 10 species
GCUGUAAUAUAAAGGAGAAAUAAAAAAAGAGGAAUCUAUAAUGAAACGUUUCAACAUGGGAAUGCACAGGCAUGCAUACACGAGGAGAUGCCGAGUGUGUGAAGUUUGCCCUGUGUAAAACCACCAUGAAGGUCCCAGCCAGGAAAGUUGACCCUUCAAACGUGUGUGUUGGGAGCUCAGAUCUCAGGAUCCCGCUGAGUGGCAAUUGCGGAUGGGAUUUUCCAACAAAGCAAGGUACAAUCCUCCCUUAAUACCCCUCAACAUACCUGAGAAACAUCGUGUAUGUUAAAAACAUGCAAAAAUCAGUCGUGUCUAAAUUAAAAUGAAGUUUAUGCCUUGGCUCAGAUUAUUUUAAGCAGGAAUUUUCAACUACAUGAAUGUCUGAUGUGAUAUUUCAAAAUUAUGUGGGAUAAUCGUCAAUGGAGGGACUGACUUCCCUGGGACCUCACCCACUAAAUGCCAGGAACCCCUCAACCAGAAAAGCCCCCACACAUUUCCCGUCCACCCUUGAUAGGGGGCAGAAUGGCCUCUGAGAACCAGUGACCACUGACAUGUGUUUACUGACUGGGAAAGAAGUCUACGAUACGUAUUGUGAAGUACGACGUAUGGUUAAGUAAAUGUAGGCUUAAGGAUCAACACCUACAACAUGAUUCCAUUUUUGAAAAAGGACAAACAUAAAGACGGCAUGAAAGAAAAAUCUGUGUAUGUGUGCAGGUCCAGAGAGGAAAACAUCUGAACAUAUGUAAACAAACAUUAACCAUAAGUGUCUCUGGUGAGUGAGAUUACAGGUCAUUUUCAUUUUUUAAUGUCUAUUUUUCCAUAUGGACUUUUUUUUUUGUAAUGAUAUAUUACCAGGGUAGGCACCCAAACUGCUCCUCUACACAAAUGCUUGUCCUCUUUUUCAAAGUGUGAGAUUUGGCCCAGCUAUUCGGACCUACUUAAUUUUAAAAACUCAGUCUUUCUGUCAGCAAGGGCCUUGGAAGGAAAAGAUCCAGAUUCGAGUCCUGAUUCUGCCACUGACUGUGUAACUGUACUGUAGAGCAUUUAAAUGAUACUAAACUCAACAGAAAAAUACAAAAGCCCUUAUAUAUGUGUACUGUUAUGCAAUAGAAAGAGCAAGAACAUUUUUUCUUGUUACAUUUGAGGCUUGCAUUCAAGGCCAUUCAUGCACCGCCUAAAGAUGAAGAAGCAGUCAUUUUCUGUUCUGCCUGAACUCUGGAUGUCAAUUGAUUGUGGUUAAUUUUAGGUGUCGACUGAACUGAGGGAUGCCUGGAUGGCUGGUGAAGCAUUGUUUCUGGGUGUGUCUGUGAGGGUGUUUCCAGAGGAGAUUGAUGCAUGAGUCAGUGACCGAGAGAGGAAGACCUGCCCUCAGUGUGGACGGGCACCAUGCAAUCUGCUGGCAACACAGCUAGAACAAAGCAACCAGGAGAAAGGGAAAUUCAGCUUGCUUGGCUUUCUUUUUAAUGCUCUCUCUCUUUUCCAGAGCAGUAGGUAUAUUUUCUCCUGCCCUCCUUGGGCAGCUGAACUCCAGGUUCUUUGGCCUUUGGACUGUGGGACUUGCACCAGUAGCCUCCUGGGGGACCUUGCAUCUUUAGCCUUGGACUGGAGGCUACACUGUCAGCUUCUCUGGUGUUGAGGCUUUUGGACUGGACUGCAGCAUGCUGCUGGCCUCUCUUCCUCUUCUGCUUGCAGACGGCCUACCUGGUGGUGGGACUUUCUUUUUGUGAUCAUGUGAGCCAAUUCUCCCUAAUAAAUUCCCUUUCGUAUAUAUGUAUCCUAUUGUCUCUGUCCCUCUGAAGAAUCCUGACUAAUACACUAUCUUAACCUGAUCUCCCAGGGAUAAGGAUGUUGGGAUAGGACAGAAGAGGUUAGGUCCUUGGGUUGAUUUGCACAGGGCCUUGCACCCAAAAAGGACAGGCUCAUGCGCUUAUUGGGAUCUAGCUUAUUCCCCUUUUGAAAACUACAGGCAGAAUUCUGGAACCAGGAUGGGCUCCAGCAUGAGCUGUGGUGACAGGGGACUGCAGAAGCAGGGAAUCUAAGCUUCUAAGCAAUGGUCACAUCCCGCCAGAGCAUGUCCUCAUCUAGCUGGAGUUGACACUACAGUGAUGGACGUUUGCACUUUCCUGUCCUGGGAUUUUAACAAACUAGAAUGUGUCAACAGGUCUGAACAGAUAUUGAAGCCAGGUUGUGUAGGAUACUUUGGAGAAAAUUUGGCCUGGGGAAGAGACAACUUCCCCAGUAAACUGUAGAGAACCUCAUGAAUAGAACCUGAUACACAGUUGUUGAAUUGAUUGAGAAGAAUGGAGAGACAGAAACUCCCUCUGACCCCAGGCAGUCACUGUGCUGAUCACAGGAGCCCAGGUAAGCCUAGGUCAGACGAUGGUGGGGUAUUUGCAGGCACAAGCAGGCAUACCCACCUCAGCCUGUCAUCACUGUAGCCUUUUGAAGCUUCGGGGCACCCAAAGCCCUUCUUGGGAGGGUUAUAACUGUUACCAGCAAGCUGCCAGGAAGAACAACCAACUGUCGCCCACACUCUUCAGAAGAGGUGGGAUUUUCUGAGCUCUGUGCUUCAGUGAUGGUGAAGCCCUUCGAGUGACUAUUUCCUCUGUAUUGUUUUUCCAGGCCACUGCAUUUUCUUAUACAGAGCUACUCCACGCAUUGCCCUUUGUCCUAGAACAUCUUGCCUUAAUUGCAUUAAUCAUCUGAUCUCUUCACUUUUAACAUGACUUCUUGGGCUCCCAUGAUAACACUGAUACCAUGUCUGAUAAGGUUCAAAUUCCACCACAGCCUGUGGCUGGAGGGCCUCGUGAGGGAAACUGCUCACAAGAAUAAGGUAGGAGAGUAGGUCCAAGAAUAAUCCUCCCCCAAACAGGGAAGGCUGCGUGACUCAAUGACACCUCCCAUCUCUCCUCGUCAUAAUGUCCCCCUAGUCCAUGUCAGGCCUCAUGGGUCAUUAUGGUGUUGGGACAGGGUUAGAACUGGUAAGCACUAUUAAAAGGGAGUGUUUUGGGGUUUUUUCCUCCUGUGACCCUGGUUCAGAAAGCAUGUUUUGGAGCAAGUUGGGAGGCACUCUUGUUUAAACAGGUGUCACGGUAUCAGUGAAGUCUACCAAGAUGUUGUCAACCUAUGUCUUUUUUAAAAGUCACUCUGGGAUCUUAAUAAGUGUUUUUAACAAGAAAAUAAAAUUUUUAAAAAUUGAGGUCCUGGAACUGGAAAUGUAGGCAAAGGGACACAAUGCGGGUGCCCGGAGUGUUUUGCUUUGGGAGGUAGUGGAGAGAAGGUGCCAGGGAGAGGCGUGCAUUGACCAAGGUGAGAAUACCAAUCCCACAACCUUGGCUCAAGUGCCCCCCGCCCACCAGCCUCCAGAUCCAGUCACCUAGCCGAGAGGGGCAAGGGCUGCAUCUGACCCAGGGAUCCUCCAUUCUCAGAAAGAAAGGUGAGCAAUGCUUGGCCUGGAUGUGGCAUUGAGCUGUUCAGACUUUGCCCUUCACAGAGUAGCCCCUGCCCACAUUCGCCCAUAUGGGCUUACUCGCUGGUUUCCAGAAGGACUUUAGUCCACUUGUAACCUCAUCUCAACUGAAAUAAAUCAGCCCCCACCCAGGGACUGGUUUGCUGUACCAACUCCACUGGUGAUGAAGAGGAGGGGAAUCACAGUGACCUUUGCAGGGUGCAUACUGUGCUUCCAAGAGU